rnacentral:rRNA from 1 species
GACGAACCGUCCAAACGUUAUUCGGAAUCAUUGGGCGUAAAGCGCGUGUAGGCGGUCCGGUAAGUCCGCUGUGAAAGUCGGGGGCUCAACCCUCGGAUGCCGGUGGAUACUGUCGGGCUUGAGUACGGAAGAGGCGAGUGGAAUUCCUGGUGUAGCGGUGAAAUGCGCAGAUAUCAGGAGGAACACCAAUUGCGAAGGCAGCUCGCUGGGACGUUACUGACGCUGGAGACGCGAAAGCGUGGGGAGCAAACAGG